rnacentral:rRNA from 1 species
CGGUUGAUCCUGCCGGAGAUCACUGCUAUCGGGAUUCGAUUAAGCCAUGUGAGUCGAGAGGGUUCGGCCCUCGGCAUACUGCUCAGUAACACGUGGACAACCUACCCUCGGGUGGGGGAUAAUCUCGGGAAACUGAGGAUAAUACCCCAUAGAUAUCCGAUGCUGGAAUGCGUGGAUGUUAAAAGCUCCGGCGCCCGAGGAUGGGUCUGCGGCCUAUCAGGUUGUAGUGAGUGUAGCGAACUCACUAGCCUACGACGGGUACGGGCCUUGAGAGAGGUAACCCGGAGAUGGACUCUGAGACACGAGUCCAGGCCCUACGGGGCGCAGCAGGCGCGAAAACUUCGCAAUGUGGGAAACCGCGACGAGGGAAUCCCGAGUGCCUAUACAUUUGUAUAGGCUGUUUAUGUGCCUAAAAAGCACGUAGAGUAAGAGCUGGGUAAGACCGGUGCCAGCCGCCGCGGUAAUACCGGCAGCUCGAGUGGUGGUCGUUUUUAUUGGGCCUAAAGCGUCCGUAGCCGGUUGAGUAAAUCCCUGGGUAAAUCGACGGGCUCAACGCUGUCGACUUCCGGGGACACUGCUCGACUUGGGACCGGGAGAGGUUGGAGGUACUCCAGGGGUAGGGGUGAAAUCCUGUAAUCCCUGGGGGACCACCUGUGGCGAAGGCGUCCAACUAGAACGGCUCCGACGGUAAGGGACGAAGCCCUGGGGCGCAAACCGGAUUAGAUACCCGGGUAGUCCAGGGUGUAAACGCUGCAGACUUGGUGUUGGAGAUCCCACGAGGGUGUCCAGUGCCGGAGAGAAGUUGUUAAGUUUGCCGCCUGGGAAGUAUGGCCGCAAGGCUGAAACUUAAAGGAAUUGGCGGGGGAGC